rnacentral:rRNA from 1 species
GGGGGGAUGCGGGGCUUACACAUGCAGUCGAACGAUGAACCGCUUUCGGGCGGGGAUUAGUGGCGAACGGGUGAGUAACACGUGGGCAAUCUGCCCUGCACUCUGGGACAAGCCCUGGAAACGGGGUCUAAUACCGGAUAUGACUGUCCAUCGCAUGGUGGAUGGUGUAAAGCUCCGGCGGUGCAGGAUGAGCCCGCGGCCUAUCAGCUUGUUGGUGAGGUAGUGGCUCACCAAGGCGACGACGGGUAGCCGGCCUGAGAGGGCGACCGGCCACACUGGGACUGAGACACGGCCCAGACUCCUACGGGAGGCAGCAGUGGGGAAUAUUGCACAAUGGGCGAAAGCCUGAUGCAGCGACGCCGCGUGAGGGAUGACGGCCUUCGGGUUGUAAACCUCUUUCAGCAGGGAAGAAGCGAAAGUGACGGUACCUGCAGAAGAAGCGCCGGCUAACUACGUGCCAGCAGCCGCGGUAAUACGUAGGGCGCAAGCGUUGUCCGGAAUUAUUGGGCGUAAAGAGCUCGUAGGCGGCUUGUCACGUCGGUUGUGAAAGCCCGGGGCUUAACCCCGGGUCUGCAGUCGAUACGGGCAGGCUAGAGUUCGGUAGGGGAGAUCGGAAUUCCUGGUGUAGCGGUGAAAUGCGCAGAUAUCAGGAGGAACACCGGUGGCGAAGGCGGAUCUCUGGGCCGAUACUGACGCUGAGGAGCGAAAGCGUGGGGAGCGAACAGGAUUAGAUACCCUGGUAGUCCACGCCGUANACGGUGGGCACUAGGUGUGGGCAACAUUCCACGUUGUCCGUGCCGCAGCUAACGCAUUAAGUGCCCCCGCCUGGGGAGUACGGCCCGCAGGCUAAAACUC